UCCUUCUCCAGUUGCACGACCUCCUCCUCCUCCUCCCUCUCCUUCGAUCUCCUUCCUCCGGUCACCAAAUCCGGCAAAUGAAUACUCUAAAAACAUCAACUCAACGCAAGGAAGAAGAAUAUGGCUUUGACUUGAACUGAAACUGCAUCUAUUUUGAAAGGAAAGAGCUUGAAGUUUUGGCACCAUAGCGACACCUUUUUUCCGGCGAUUCACGCCGUUUCAGGCAAGUCUAGAGCGCAAGAUUUGACAUUUCCGGCCACCGUGCACGGCGGCGGCGACGGCGGUCCGGCGACCGGCCGGCGAGACUUCAAGAGAUAGAAUGUUCUCCUCUUCGCGCGGAUGACGGACAUAACAUCUGAUUUUCAAUCGAUGUUUAUAGAUUCCGAAGGUGGAGACAAAUGCGGGAAGCGGUGCAGU